GGCACGCUUCAUACAUGCAAGUCGAGGGGCAGCAUAAAGUACUUGUACUUUGAUGGCGACCGGCGAACGGGUGCGUAACGCGUAUGCAACUUACCUUUUACUAGAGAAUAGCCAAGAGAAAUUUUGAUUAAUGCUCUAUACACUUCUUAACUCACAUGAGUUUUUAAGAAAAGCUCCGGCGGUAAAAGAUGGGCAUGCGUCCUAUUAGCUUGUAGGUGAGGUAACGGCUCACCUAAGCUCCGAUAGGUAGGGGUCCUGAGAGGGAGAUCCCCCACACUGGUACUGAGACACGGACCAGACUUCUACGGAAGGCAGCAGUAAGGAAUAUUGGACAAUGGAGGAAACUCUGAUCCAGCGAUGCCGCGUGAAGGAAGACUGCCCUAUGGGUUGUAAACUUCUUUUAUACAGGAAGAAACCUUUCCACGUGUGGAAAGCUGACGGUACUGUAAGAAUAAGGAUCGGCUAACUCCGUGCCAGCAGCCGCGGUAAUACGGAGGAUCCAAGCGUUAUCCGGAAUUAUUGGGUUUAAAGGGUCCGCAGGCUGUUUGUUAAGUCAGGGGUGAAAUCCUACCGCUCAACGGUAGAACUGCCUUUGAUACUGACAAACUUGAGUUAUUGUGAAGUAGUUAGAAUGUGUAGUGUAGCGGUGAAAUGCAUAGAUAUUACACAGAAUACCAAUUGCGAAGGCAGAUUACUAACAAUUAACUGACGCUGAGGGACGAAAGCGUGGGUAGCGAACAGGAUUAGAUACCCUGGUAG
rnacentral:rRNA from 1 species